rnacentral:rRNA from 1 species
AUUGAACGCUGGCGGCAGGCCUAACACAUGCAAGUCGAACGAGUGGCGGACGGGUGAGUAAUGUCUGGGAAACUGCCCGAUGGAGGGGGAUAACUACUGGAAACGGUAGCUAAUACCGCAUACCAUCGGAGGUGCCCAGUUGGGAUUAGCUAGUAGGUGGGGUAACGGUUUACCUAGGCCACGAUCCCUAGCUGGUCUGAAGGGAUGACCAGCCAAACUGGAACUGAGACACGGUCCAGACUCCUACGUGAGGCAGCAGGGGGGAAUAUUGCACAAUGGGCGCAAGCCUGAUGCAGCCAUGCCGCGUGUAGGAAGAAGGCCUUCGGGUUGUAAAGUACUUUCAGCGAGGAGGCGUUACUCGCAGAAGAAGCACCGGCUAACUCCGUGCCAGCAGCCGCGGUAAUUC